ACAUAACACAUAUUGCUAAUCCAUGGCUGCAGUUCUAUGAUGUAGGCUGGAUCCAACAUCAGAAUCCUCCCAAAGCAGCCUCUUAAGCAUCUGCUGCCAAAUAAUGGAAGCUGUCAUCUGAAUCAAAAUCUGCCUAUGUUCCUUGGUGCAGUUAAAUUCAGAUACUAUUUCAACGAUUGUCACCCAGUAGAUGCUCAAGAAGAUUUUUACAACCAUGUUGGUAGAGCAACACAAUAAGGAGGAUGAGAAGGAGGAAGGAGAGAAGGAGGAGGAGGAAGAAGAGAUGAAAAGUCACACCUAAGUCACAUAUGAAUACGCAAAUGCAACACCAGAGAGAAAGGCCUUUACAGAGACUUGCCCUAGAUGACCUGCAUGCUGCCGAGAGAUGCCUGUGGCCAGAUGUGAGGCACCGUCACUGCCUUUUUUUUGGAAAAUGCCCGAUUUCUACAGCUAUGAAGCCAAAGGUACAGUGGGCCUUUUGAGCACCUCUAAAAGGUCAUGUUUUCUGUCCGCUCCUGAAUGUCCUUAAAGUCUUGGUACCAAGCAUCACAUUAUCCUUUCGUUGUAUCCUGUGCUGAGUUGGAGCUUCAGGAGUGCAGAGAUGAGAUGAUGA
ensembl:lncRNA novel transcript, antisense to CDH13